rnacentral:rRNA from 1 species
GACAGAGGUCCCGAGCGUUAGGCGGAAUCACUGGGCUUAAAGCGUGUGUAGGCGGAUCGUUAAGUGCCUUGUGAAAUCCCACGGCUUAACCGUGGAACUGCUUGGCAUACUGGCGGUCUUGAGCCACUUAGGGGCAACCGGAACAAAUGGUGGAGCGGUGAAAUGCGUAGAUAUCAUUUGGAACGCCAAUGGUGAAAACAGGUAGCUGGGAGUGUGCUGACGCUGAGACACGAAAGCCAGGGGAGCAAACGGG